AUACAAAGGUCCCAAGCGUUAUUCGGAAUCACUGGGCGUAAAGAGUACGUAGGCGGUUUGGUAAGUCAGGUGUGAAAUCCCGGAGCUCAACUCCGGAACUGCAUCCGAUACUGCCAGACUUGAGUAAUGGAGAGGCAGGUGGAAUUCUCGGUGGAGCAGUGAAAUGCGUGGAUAUCGAGAGGAAGACCAAUGGCGAAGGCAGCCUGCUGGACAUUUACUGACGCUGAGGUACGAAGGCUAGGGGAGCGAAAGGGAGUAGAAACCCCAGUAGUCC
rnacentral:rRNA from 1 species